AGAGUUUGAUCAUGGCUCAGAUUGAACGCUGGCGGCGGCCUAACACAUGCAAGUCGAACCGUAACAGGAUUAGCUUGCUAAUCGCUGACGAGUGGCGGACGGGUGAGUAAUGCUUGGGAACUUGCCUUUGCGAGGGGGAUAACAGUUGGAAACGACUGCUAAUACCGCAUUACGUCUACGGACCAAACGGGGCUUAGGCUCCGGCGCAAAGAGAGCCCAAGUGAGAUUAGCUAGUUGGUUAGGUAAAGGCUUACCAAGGCAACGAUCUCUAGCUGUUCUGAGAGGAAGAUCAGCCACACUGGGAACUGAGACACCGUCCACACUCCUACGGGAGGCAGCAGUGGGGAAUAUUGCACAAUGGGGGAAACCCUGAUGCA
rnacentral:rRNA from 1 species